GGGAGCGUUCUGUAAGCCUGUGAAGGUGUGCUGUGAGGCAUGCUGGAGGUAUCAGAAGUGCGAAUGCUGACAUAAGUAACGAUAAAGCGGGUGAAAAGCCCGCUCGCCGGAAGACCAAGGGUUCCUGUCCAACGUUAAUCGGGGCAGGGUGAGUCGACCCCUAAGGCGAGGCCGAAAGGCGUAGUCGAUGGGAAACAGGUUAAUAUUCCUGUACUUGGUGUUACUGCGAAGGGGGGACGGAGAAGGCUAUGUUGGCCGGGCGACGGUUGUCCCGGUUUAAGCGUGUAGGCUGGUUUUCCAGGCAAAUCCGGAAAAUCAAGGCUGAGGCGUGAUGACGAGGCACUACGGUGCUGAAGCAACAAAUGCCCUGCUUCCAGGAAAAGCCUCUAAGCAUCAGGUAACAUCAAAUCGUACCCCAAACCGACACAGGUGGUCAGGUAGAGAAUACCAAGGCGCUUGAGAGAACUCGGGUGAAGGAACUAGGCAAAAUGGUGCCGUAACUUCGGGAGAAGGCACGCUGAUAUGUAGGUGAAGUCCCUCGCGGAUGGAGCUGAAAUCAGUCGAAGAUACCAGCUGGCUGCAACUGUUUAUUAAAAACACAGCACUGUGCAAACACGAAAGUGGACGUAUACGGUGUGACGCCUGCCCGGUGC
rnacentral:rRNA from 1 species